rnacentral:rRNA from 1 species
GAUGAACGCUGGCGGCGUGCUUAACACAUGCAAGUCGAACGGAAAGGCUCCUGCUUGCCGGGGUUCUCGAGUGGCGAACGGGGGAGUAACACGUGGGGGAUCUGCCCUGCACUUCGGGAUAAGCCUUGGAAAAUGGGGCUAAUACCGGAUAGGACAUUGGGUUGGAUGCCAUUCUGGAAAGUUUUGCGGUUUUGGUUGAGCUCGCGGCCUAUCAGCUUGUUGGUGGGGUAAUGGCCUACGAAGGCGUAGACGGGUAGCCGGCAUGAGAGCGUGGACGGGGACAUUGGGCCUGCGAUACGGAGCAGAAGCGUACGGGCGGCAGCAGUGGGGAGUAUUGCACAAUGGGCGCGAGCGUGAUGCAGAGACGCCGGGUGGGGGAUGACGGCCUACGGGUUGUAAACUACUUUCGCUAGGGACGAAGCGGAAGUGACGGUACCUGGAGAAGAAGCACCGGCUAACUACGUG